AACUAGCUGGGAGACCGGGCAAGUGGUCUGUCCCCAGGGAAUUUUUCCUCGCCUGGAAAUUGAGGAUAAGUACUCAGUUCACGGACUUCCAUGAAGGAUGAAUUAACUGAGGAGUAAAGUGCUCAGGACAGUGCCUGCCCUAUUCCAAGGGAUUUGUGCAAGGGUCUUCAAAAGCAACAGGAAACUAAUACGCAUCCUUUCUUCAUUCAAGACCACCUCCUCCAAGAAGCCUCUGCUGACCACCCCCACCCCACUGUGGCCCCGGACAGUUCUCAAAAGAAGGAAGCCUCUCCACCACUUCCGCCUCAAUGCCUCACUGUGGGAAAAGCCUGGGCUUGGCGUUGAGCCGGCUGGAUUUGACCUCAGGCCCUUACCUGACCCCUCCAGCCUCAGUCUCUCUGGCUAUCAGAUGAGGUCAGCUCUACCAAUCUCACAGGUUUUCUGGGAUCCAGAGGCUGACUCUGAAAACAAGCUCUGGCCACACAGGCUGGGGCCUGGGGCGGAGGCAGAGAGGAGAGGCAUAUCGUAGGAAGAGCUUCGAAGUCCAAGGAACUGCAGAACAGCAGCCACAGCACCAAGCAAAUUCCCUGAUCCGGAUUCUGUGCCAUAUACUCGGGGUGCUGAGCGGGAGCAGGGUUUGGAUCCUGCCCUCUGGGAACCCCAAAUGGAACCUGAGCCGGGAGAUGCCCACCCAGUGGCAACCAUGUCACACAGCACCCAGGCGUGCACCCCUGGCAGACAGAAAUUCAUUGCAUCUCCACAACCACCCAAUGACUGAGGUGCCACCUUACUGCAACCUUAGAGAUGAGAGGAGACUGAGGCCCAGGGCCAUAGCUGGUGAGUGACAGAGCUGGGAUUCUGAGCCCGCCCAGCCCAGCUCCCCUGUGCUGCAGGCCCAGCUGGCCUGGGGUGCCUCUCUGCUGCUCACCAGGGGGCCCCAGCUGUUUUCUUCCAACAAGCAUGUGAGGUAGGGACUGCAGGCUCCAUGUUGCAGGUGAGGACACUGGAGGCAAAGGGAAGGAAAGUGAUCUGCCCUAGGCCCCACGCACGAUGAGGGGAGUCAGGAGGGAUGCCCAAGUCUAUCUGAGCUCCCCACCCUCCCAUCGCACGCACACCCGUAGCUCUCUGCAGCUGCAGCUCUCUGCACGGUUUCUGGGCCAGGGACCCCUGUGGCAUCUGGUGAAGCCUAAGGCACUUUCUCUGAAUAAUGUUUUUAAAUGCACAAAAUAAGCAUACAUCGAAUUGCAAAGGAAACCAAUUAUAUUGAAAUGGAGUUAUCAAAACAUGUUUUAAAGAUCAGACGUAUAACAUUAAUAUACGUGCUGCUUUAUUAACACAUGAAAUAGCAAAAUCGAGUGCAAGUCUAAUAAGGACUGGGACUUCAAAGGCGCGAGGAGGGAAGCAACCUUUCAAGGUAUCUGCGAACGCUCGAAGGUGAUAGGAAGACUCUGUGAUUUCCAUUGGUGACAAAUCUCUAGGUACAGCGAGGCCCGCUGAGGUUUGUCACCUCCGCACAUCAUGAAGGGAGAUGCUAACUGCCAAUUAGAGGCCAGCGAGAAUAAAGAUGUGAGAUUUUGCCACCU